ensembl:lncRNA
GUCUGCAGAGGACUGGUGAUGAUACGGUAGCUGUGUCCAUGCCCUGAAGGGUGCUGGGCCUCUAGGAAGGCAGCCACUAAGGGCAGACGUUGCUUGCAUUGAUCCUGCUGCUCAGAGAGGCUAGAGGCCUUGCCCAGGGCCACACAGCUAGUAAAGAACGCAGUCAAGAUUGAAACCAGUUCAGAAGGGCUCAGUCCUGAUCCGAGGGCCGGAGUGGGGCUUCCCUGGCAGAGGACGUGCUUCGGAAGGGCCCGGGCUGAUGCUGGGUCAUCGCUGCGGCGGGUGGAGAUGUGUGGAGGCUGGAGAGAAGGGGCCAGGACCUUCCACAGUGCCACGUCCCGGUUCCCCAGCAUCCUGCCUGGCAGCGGACGGGCCGAGAUCUGGCCACGUGGAUUUUGUUCAGCCGCCCAGGGAGCUCUGGACCCAAGGCAGGGCGGAGCUCCCUCAGCCGUCCUGGAGUGAGGAGGGCAGAGCCGAGCGGAUGGCGCUCUGAUGGGGUUGGUGAGGCGGGAGACCCCCACAGGGCUCAGUCGAGGGGUAACGGAGACUUGGGGAAGAGGGGGUGUCACCGCAGAGGUGAGAGGGUUUGCAGGGAAGGUGGAAGCCCUUUGGGCCACACUGAGGAGCACUCAGUAGCCCGUUAGUAAUAUUUAUUGGGUAAAAGAAUGAAAAAAACUCUGGCUUUACUUCUUUUUCCUCUGAGCCUUGGUUCCCUCAGCUACAAGUUAGGGGCACCCUCUACCCAGCUGAGCUGUAGUGAAGUUUAAAUGAGAUCGACCGAGUUAACUUCACCCCCUCAUUUAAGACACAGCUCAGGCCUCACCUCCUCCAGGAAGCCCUCCCUGCUCUCCCAUUUGAGGAUGAUACCCUCUAGGGGGCCCCAGGGUAUCUCAACACUGUGCUAUCCCCCACAGCUUUGGAAACUGCCUCCAUCACUGGAUUUGGAGCACCUUCGAGGGAGGGGCCACAUCUGACUAAUAUCUGGGUCCCCUGGCAUGGGACUUAAGUGUAGGGCUCUCUGCACACAGUGGGUGCUUACUGAAGGUGGACAGAUUUACUUGGCACGUAGUAAGAGGCCAGCAGGUUGGCCCCUGUUCCCGCUAGCGGACUGCAUGGCUGAAAAGGGUCCAGCAGUGGCCUCUGGCCACCAGAUGGCACCCCUAGCCAUCCUCUAUCGGGGGGCACACCCGGGAGGUUGGCAGAGCAGGGCAGAGCUGGGGGGGUCAGCAGUCCAGGCCACCCUUUCCCGGUCCCUUGCAUCAUCCCUGGCAGGCCCUAGCGGACCGGAUAGCUGGGUGGCUGGGCAGGAGAAUGGAGCAGGGGUGCUCCCAGGGGCCCCCCACCAUGCAUGGCUGGAAGGAAGUGCAGGAGAGUUGAGGGUCUCCUGGGGGGCCCCCACAAUGCAGCUCCCGCUUCGAGUCAGCCAAGCCCCCCAGUCUGCCGGGCGUUAAUUAGCACCUCAGGGCACGUGGCCCACCUGGAAGGACAAGAACCCUGAGUGCUUGGAGGCCUGAGCCCCCGCAGGCGGCUCUGCGUGGCAGGGGACCCUGCCUUGGGCCUCGGAGCUCUGAGUGCACCCUCUAACCCUGCCCGUCCUUAGCGGUGGGACCUUGGGCAAGUAUGUCCCUCUCUGAGCUUUAAUGGGUCACAGCUUCCAUUUACAAAGGACCUGUACUUGCCAGGCACCCACUUGGUGAGGCGUCUUCACAGGCAUCACCUCGCAGAAGCAUUCCAACGAUCCUGGGGGACAGCACCCUCCCUUAACAGACGGGGCCAGCUGGACAAAGUGGGUCAGAGGGGAAGCUGGCCUUCCCAGGCAGAGCCGAUCCCUCCUGUCUGCACAGGGAGGUCCCCACGGGGGGCACAGGUAGCCCUGGGUCAGCACUCAGGACUGGGCUUCGGUGCCCACUGUUACGUUGCACCCGUAGCAGGUCACCUCGUCCCCAGUGUCCGCACUUGGUCCCCACAGCAGCACCACCAGCUGAUCUGUCUCCAUCUGUUGCCGAUGAUGACCCAUGACCUUGGAGAACUCCCAGGUAGUUGGGGGGCAGGAGAGGCACCUCCCAUAAGGUCUGUGCCAGGGAACCAGGUCCAGCAGGCUCGUGCCUUGACGUCCCCAGCUACGUCCCCUGGCCGAGUAGUCUUGGAGCCCUAAUGGCCACCACCAUCCCCGUCCCACCUCCUCCCACCUGGGCUGCAGGAUCCCAGGGUGUUCUGGAGCUCCCCCACCCUGGAGAAGGUCCAGCAGCUGGUUGACUCCCCUCCCUUGCUGUUGCCACCCUCGCACUUCCAGGCCCUGGGGGCGGGUCAAGGGCUCAAUGUCAGGGUCCCGCUGGGAGGCCCUUGUUGCAGCUCUGUGUGUUGAUUCUCAGGGGGACCGUGCACCCAGCACUACACACGGUGGUGUUUCUCGGACCUCCCUCCGACAUCCAGACUGGGGCCAGCCCUUCCCAGCUGUUGUGUUUCCUCCCUCCUCUCCAGAUGUGGCCGUUCCCUCCCGCCUUUGGGGGCAGCGGGAGAACAGCCGACACACCAUUACGUGCUGACCUCUCCGUCUCCUUCCACAGACUGGGGACCCUUAGGGACAGGGGCCAGGCCUUAUCCAUCAGUCUCCUCCAGAACCACCCGGGUGGGCAACCAGCAGGCCCUGGGCAGUGCAUCCACUGGGGUCAACACAGAUGGCAGGGCCAGGAGAGCACCUGGCCCCAACACCGUCUCAUGGCCGCAGCAGCCCUGGGCCAGCACACAGGUCAGCCACAGGUAC